AACGGGUGAGUAACACGUGAGCAACCUGCCUUUCAGUGGGGGACAACAUUUGGAAACGAAUGCUAAUACCGCAUAAGACCACAGUGUCGCAUGGCACAGGGGUCAAAGGAUUUAUCCGCUGAAAGAUGGGCUCGCGUCCGAUUAGCCUAGUUGGUGAGGUAAUGGCCCACCAAGGCAACGAUCGGUAGCCGGACUGAGAGGUUGAACGGCCACAUUGGGACUGAGACACGGCCCAGACUCCUACGGGAGGCAGCAUG
rnacentral:rRNA from 1 species